UACGUAGGGGCUAGCGUUAUCCGGAAUUACUGGGCGUAAAGGGUGCGUAGGCGGUCUUUCAAGCCAGAAGUGAAAGGCUACGGCUCAACCGUAGUAAGCUUUUGGAACUGUAAGACUUGAGUGCAGGAGAGGAGAGUGGAAUUCCUAGUGUAGCGGUGAAAUGCGUAGAUAUUAGGAGGAACACCAGUGGCGAAGGCGGCUUCCUGGUCUGUAACUGACACUGAGGCGCGAAAGCGUGGGGAGCAAACAGGAUUAGAUACCCUGGUAGUCCCUGA
rnacentral:rRNA from 1 species